rnacentral:rRNA from 1 species
AGCGAACGCUGGCGGCAGGCUUAACACAUGCAAGUCGAACGGCCCUUCGGGGCGAGUGGCGGACGGGUGAGUAACACGUGGGAACGUGCCCUUAGGUUCGGAACAACACAGGGAAACUUGUGCUAAUACCGGAUGUGCCCUUUUGGGGAAAGAUUUAUCGCCUUUGGAGCGGCCCGCGUCUGAUUAGCUUGUUGGUGGGGUAAAGCCUACCAAGGCGACGAUCAGUAGCUGGUCUGAGAGGAUGGCCAGCCACACUGGACUGAGACACGGCCCAGACUCCUACGGGAGGCAGCAGUGGGGAAUCUUGCGCAAUGGGCGAAAGCCGUGACGCAGCCAUGCCGCGUGGAUGAUGAAGGUCUUAGGAUUGUAAAAUCCUUUCAGCGGGACGA